UUUUCCUCUCCGCCAACAUCCGCGGUGCCGCCAAGUCGGACCCUGUUCUGUCUCCUCCUCCCUCUGGGAGGCCCGUGUCCGACAGUUGCAGGCUGUCGACUGUCAACGCUGGAUGUGCCAAACCUCCACCCCAUCAGGUGGAGAGUUUGAUCCCGAGCAGUGAUGAUUUUAUUUUUGCCUCCUCUGCUAGGAGGCAGAGGAACGGAGAGUGGCGGCAAGGGCAGCCGCCGGCGUGAUGACGAGAACCUAGGGGUGGACACACGGGAGAUCGGGUGCUCGCGCGAAGCCUCCUGCAGCACGAUCGCCCACGAGCCCACCCGGAGCUGUCGUCCCCGUGAAGGGCGCCGCCCCGCUGCACUGGAAAGGAAGCUGUCUGGAUGAAGAAAGGACCGCGGGCUGAAUUCUUACGAGCAUAGGGGUGUUUCUGUAAAAAUGAAUCGUUUUUGCAGAUUUGCAGAUUCACUUAAACAGGGACUGCGCGUUAAUUUAUCAAAAAAGGGAACCUUUCUGUAAAAACGCCGACGACGUACGACCAGAAGCAGUCGCUGGUUUAUUAUUA